rfam:Pteropus alecto contig49880, whole genome shotgun sequence.
GUCUGCAGCCAUACCACCUUGAACAUGCCCAAUCUCAUCUGAUCUCGGAAGCUAAGCAGGGUCGGGCCUGGUUAGUACUUGGAUGGGAUUCCACCUGAGAAUACUGGGUGCUGUAGGCU